rnacentral:rRNA from 1 species
UACAGAGGUCCCAAGCGUUGUUCGGAUUCACUGGGCGUAAAGGGUGCGUAGGUGGCCGGGUAAGUUUGAUGUGAAAUCUCCGGGCUUAACCCGGAAACUGCAUUGAAUACUAUCCUGCUCGAGGUUUGGAGGGGGGACUGGAAUUCUCGGUGUAGCAGUGAAAUGCGUAGAUAUCGAGAGGAACACCAGUGGCGAAGGCGAGUCCCUGGACAACACCUGACACUGAGGCACGAAAGCUAGGGGAGCAAGCAGG